AAGAAGAAAAAAAACUAGUGUACGCCGAUGAGCUGCCAGUAAAUGGGUGAUGCAGAGUUGUCAGGCACAUCACUUGCCCUGGCUUGGCAGGUUUCGUGCCGAGCGCACUAUGCACGUUACGCUAUGGUGACGGCAAGCUGGAGGUGAAAGUAGGCGUGCGGUGAGGAGGGCUGGUGGCCGCUGCCGCUCGGCCGGCAAAGACUGAAGGUGAAGGGAAGCGGGCGUGAAAAGGUGUGGAGAGGAGGGCCAGUGGCUGCUGCCGCACGGACGGCAGAGACUGAAGGUGAAGGGAAGCGGGCGUGAAAAGAUGCGGAGGUGAUGGGAGGCCAGUAUGGAGAAGAGGGCCGGUGGCCGCUGCUGCUCGGCCGGCAAAGACUGGAG
rnacentral:lncRNA from 1 species